rnacentral:rRNA from 1 species
AUGUGGGCAGCCAAAGCACUGAAAUUUGGAUACAGAUGGGUGGUAGGAGAUGGGAAGAAGAUACGAUUUUGGGAAGAUAUCUGGUUUGGAACCUCCCAACUAUCAGUUCAAUUCUGGCCACUCUACUCCAUCUGUCAUUAACAUUGUGUCUCUCUAGCUGAGGUGUGGGACAACAAUGAAAUUAAGCUAACUUUUAGGAGGAUUUUCACUACACACAUGAUGGAGCAAUGGUACUGCCUAGAGUAG